rnacentral:sRNA from 1 species
AGCUGGGGCGUGGUCAGGGCUUCCAACAGGGCAGGGCCACUCACCCCUGGGGAGGGACAUUUGGGCCGGUCUAACGCCCACUGUGGACGGUAAAGGCCGUUUGGGAACAGCUUUCAGCUCCAGAAUUUGUUUUUGAACAUGGCUAUCAAACUUACCUGCCCACGGAAAGUAAUGAAAACCAGACAGCCACUGUCAUCUCUCUCCCUGCCAAGUCACGCACCAAAAAGCCCACAACACCACCUGCUCAGAAAAGGCUUAACUGUUGCUAUCCAGGUUGCCAAUUCAAGACUGCUUAUGGCAUGAAGGACAUGGAGCGACAUUUAAAAAUUCACACGGGAGACAAACCCCAUAAGUGUGAAGUCUGUGGCAAGUGCUUUAGCCGGAAAGACAAGCUGAAAACUCACAUGCGGUGCCACACGGGCGUGAAGCCCUACAAGUGUAAGACGUGUGACUACGCCGCUGCCGACAGCAGCAGCCUCAACAAGCACCUGAGGAUCCACUCGGACGAGCGGCCCUUCAAAUGCCAGAUCUGCCCCUACGCCAGCCGCAACUCCAGCCAGCUCACUGUCCACCUGCGAUCCCACACGGCUUCAGAACUUGAUGAUGAUGUUCCAAAAGCAAACUGCCUCUCCACUGAAAGCACUGACACUCCGAAGGCCCCUGUCAUCACUCUUCCCUCAGAGGCAAGGGAACAAAUGGCCACCCUUGGAGAGAGGACGUUCAACUGUUGCUACCCAGGUUGCCACUUCAAAACUGUCCAUGGCAUGAAAGACUUGGACCGCCAUCUCAGAAUCCACACGGCACCCUUUGACCAACAGCCUAGGGGGAGAUGCCGUGCUGCUUGCUGUUUGGAAGAAGUGAGAGGAAGGGGUCCACCUGACCAUUCUCCAUGUGGUUCAUGAAGCUGUC